AUUGAACGCUGGCGGCAGGCCUAACACAUGCAAGUCGAACGAGUGGCGGACGGGUGAGUAAUGUCUGGGAAACUGCCCGAUGGAGGGGGAUAACUACUGGAAACGGUAGCUAAUACCGCAUACCAUCGGAUGUGCCCAGAUGGGAUUAGCUUGUCGGUGAGGUAACGGCCUACCAAGGCGACGAUCCGUAACUGGUCUGAGAGGAUGAUCAGUCACACUGGAACUGAGACACGGUCCAGACUCCUACGGGAGGCAGCAGGGGGGAAUAUUGCACAAGGGGCGCAAGCCUGAUGCAGCCAUGCCGAGUGUAUGAAGAAGGCCUUCGGGUUGUAAAGUACUGUCAGCGGGGAGGCGUUACCCGCAGAAGAAGCACCGGCUAACUCCGUGACAGCCGCCGCGGUAAGAC
rnacentral:rRNA from 1 species